CGGAGGGAGAGGGGCCGCAACCGGUUACGCUGGCACCCGCCCCGAGCUCGGUGACCCGCUCUGUCCCGCCCCGCGCCGCUCGGGAGCGAGGAGCGCUUAGGAAGGCCGGCGGCAUGGAAGGCCGGGAUCAGACUGCAGAGAGCUGCUCUUUGGGGAGGCUGAAAUAAUGAGGGGAAUGCCUCUGGAUACUUCCAUCCCACUCCCAUCUCUUCAGGGACACAGUGCCCCUCGGGGGAAGCAUUUCUACACUGCUCCCCUGGGUGGCUGCCGGUGGGGUCUCUUAGCAAACAAAUCUCCCUCUUCCCACACCACUGGGUGAGAAGAAUCUCCAAACUGACUCAGGGACUUGGCGUUCUUCUCCUUACCUUGAGCUGGCCAGCCAGACCUCCAAAUCGGACCCAAGACUGCUGGGUCACAGUGUGACAUACUGACUGAAGUUACACAAGAGAAACAACCUCCAGGAGAUGAGGACUGCGGGACAAUGGGAUAGGAAGCAAAAGGAACUCUUGUGGUUUCCCCACUCCCCACCCCCCACCCCCCGCCCCCUCUCCACUUCUUCCCCCACCCUCUGGCCACCUUAGACUCUCUCCCUAGGUAGGAGCCUAGGUACUGCGUGGGUGACAGGACUUUCAAUGGCAUCCCAAGAACUCCAAUCAACAAAUGUUUAUUGAGCACCUGCUGCAUGCUGGGCCUUGAGGCAAGACUGCCUCACUAGGCAACCAAGGUCCUGUUACUUUAAGGUAAAUCCUGAGUCUGGAAGACAAACGGUCUGGGUUAAAAUCUUGCCUCUCAAAUACAUUGUCAUUUUUGCCUGUGUAA